UACGUAGGGGGCAAGCGUUGUCCGGAAUCAUUGGGCGUAAAGCGCGCGUAGGCGGCUCUGUAAGUCCGUUGUGAAAGUCAAAGGCUCAACCUUUGAAAGCCGAUGGAUACUGCAGGGCUAGAGUCCGGAAGAGGCGAGUGGAAUUCCUGGUGUAGCGGUGGAAUGCGCAGAUAUCAGGAGGAACACCGAUGGCGAAGGCAGCUCGCUGGGACGGUACUGACGCUGAGGCGCGAAAGCGUGGGGAGCGAACAGG
rnacentral:rRNA from 1 species